UACGAAGGGGGCUAGCGUUGCUCGGAAUCACUGGGCGUAAAGCGCACGUAGGCGGAUUGCUAAGUCAGGGGGUGAAAUCCUGGAGCUCAACUCCAGAACUGCCUUUGAUACUGGCGACCUUGAGUCCGGGAGAGGUGAGUGGAACUGCGAGUGUAGAGGUGAAAUUCGUAGAUAUUCGCAAGAACACCAGUGGCGAAGGCGGCUCACUGGCCCGGUACUGACGCUGAGGUGCGAAAGCGUGGGGAGCAAACA
rnacentral:rRNA from 1 species